rnacentral:lncRNA from 1 species
UGGGAUAUGGGGGUUUUAGUUUUAUUUUAUUUUAUCUUUAUUAAAUUUUGUUUUUUAAAUUUGAAAUUAAAGAGGUUAAGGAGUUAGCAAAAAAUCUACUCUUAUUUUUACACGUUUCUUUGUGUUUUUCCACUUUCUUUAUUUUGUUUUUUUUUCCUUUCCUUUGUUUUUGUUCUUAUAGCUGCAUUAUGCUAUAUUGUUUUUCUUCUUUC